GAUGAACGCUAGCGGCAGGCCUAACACAUGCAAGUCGAGGGGCAGCGGGUGUAGCAAUACAUGCCGGCGACCGGCGCACGGGUGAGUAACGCGUAUGUAACCUACCUCUAACUGGGGAAUAGCUCUGAGAAAUCGGAAUUAAUGCCCCAUAAUAUUCUUUUGAGGCAUCUCAAAAGAAUUAAAGCUCCGGCGGUUAGAGAUGGGCAUGCGUGCUAUUAGCUAGUUGGUGAGGUAAUGGCUCACCAAGGCUAUGAUGGCUAGGGGGUCUGAGAGGAUGAUCCCCCACAUUGGUACUGAGACACGGACCACACUCCUACGGGAGGCAGCAGUGAGGAAUAUUGGUCAAUGAGCGCAAGCCUGAACCAGCCAUGCCGCGUGAAGGAUGAAGGCCCUAUGGGUCGUAUACUUCUUUUGUACGGGAAGAAACCCACGAUCGUGAUCGGGGCUGACGGUACUGUACGAAUAAGCAUCGGCUAACUCCGUGCCAGCAGCCGCGGUAAUACGGAGGAUGCAAGCGUUAUCCGGAUUCAUUGGGUUUAAAGGGGUGCGUAGGCGGGAUAAUUAUGUCGGUGGGUGAAAGCCUACAGCUUAACUGUAGAAUUGCCAUUGAUACUGUUAUU
rnacentral:rRNA from 1 species